AUACGGAAGGUCCGGGCGUUAUCCGGAUUUAUUGGGUUUAAAGGGAGCGCAGGCGGAGAUGCAAGCGUGACGUCAAAUUUCGGGGCUCAACCCCGUCUCGCGUCGCGAACUGCGUCCCUUGGUUGCGGGAAGGGGAGGCGGAAACCGUGGGGUAGCGGUGAAAUGCAUAGAUAUCACGAAGAACUCCGAUCGCGAAGGCAGCCUUCCGGCCCGUCAACGACGCUCAUGCUCGAAGGUGCGGGUAUCAAACAGGAUUAGAUACCCUGGUAGUCCGCACAGUAAACGAUGGACACCCGCGGUUUGGCCUGUAUGGCUGAGCCGCCAAGCGAAAGCGUUAAGUGUCCCACCUGGGGAGUACGCCGGCAACGGUGAAACUCAAAUGAAUUGGCGGGG
rnacentral:rRNA from 1 species